UACGUAGGUGGCAAGCGUUGUCCGGAUUUACUGGGCGUAAAGCGUGCGCAGGCGGUUUUGUAAGCCAGAUGUGAAAUCCCCGGGCUUAACCUGGGAAUGGCAUUUGGGACUGCAAGGCUUGAGUGCGGCAGAGGAGACUGGAAUUCCUGGUGUAGCAGUGAAAUGCGCAGAUAUCGGGAAGAACACCUAUGGCGAAGGCAGCUCUCUGGGACGGUACUGACGCUGAGACGCGAAAGCGUGGGGAGCGAACAGG
rnacentral:rRNA from 1 species